GGUGCAGGUUACAGUAUUCCUACUUAAUAUUGUGCCACGUGAAGGUUGUUUGUGCUUGAGCAUAAGAUUUCUCUCUUUUCGUAUCUGAAUAUUCCCUUAUGAUAUCUGAUGGUUCGAGUGUGCUGGGAGAAGAUUUCUGGCAACAUAUAUGCAAUGAAAUAGCUGAAGAAGCCUGAUGUAGUUAAGAGGGGUCAAUACAUGCUUCGGUCCUAUGAAAUGUUUCCUCAGGAUGUAGUUGAGCCUGCAGAGCAGGCUGGUAAUAACUCGAUUUGAGGAAGGGGCUAGAACAUUCAUACAGUGAGAGUGUUCCUUAACAUUGUGAUAAGCAUAUAGACUGAAUAAAAACUUCUUUG